AAUAGCCUAACGGCUGAACCAGCAACUUGAGGAAUGUAGCUAAAGCUAAAUGUAAGAACCGAUUUAUUCGUAUAAAGUUCUAGAUAGAAUUAUGAUAAUGACAUUAUCUAUCUAUAAGUCUUGACCAACAUGCGUGCCAGCAGUCGCGGCAAGACGCUAAAGACUAGUGUUAUUCAUCUUUAAUAGGUUUAAAGGGUACCUAGACGGUAAAUCAAGCCUUAACCGGGACUAAUUUAACUAGAGUUAGAUGUAAGGGUGCAUUAACGUACUAUUGAUGUAGAGAUGAAAUUCUUUGAUACCAGAUGAUUGGCACGGGUUUAGGCGAAAGCAUCACCUUAUGUAAUAACUGACGUUGAGGGACGAAGGCUUUGUGUCGCUAACGGGAUUAGAUACCCCAGUAGUCUAAGCAGAAAAUGAUGAGUGUCAUAGGAAUAUUUAGUCUAUAAAUGAAAGUGUAAGCAUUCCACCUCAAGAGUAAUAUGGCAACAUUGGAAUUGAAAUCAUUAGACCGUUUCUGAAACCAGUAGUGAAGUAUGUUGUUUAAUUAGAUAAUCCACAAAAAACCUUACAUUUGAAUAUUUACAAGCGUUGCACGGCUGCUUCAGUUAAUGUCGUGAGAUUAUGGUUAGUUCCAAUAAAUUAACGUAAACCCUUACUUUAUUUUAUAUAAAGUAGUUCGCCGCUAUAUUGGAGAUAAAAGG
rnacentral:rRNA from 1 species